CCUGCCCUUCUCUCCAGCGGCGCGACAGUACGAACCGGGGAGGGUCGCAUUUCUCAGCUCGUCCCUCUCUCCACACUGUUACCGGGAGGGUGGUCGAGAGAAGAAAGGAGAGAAUGCCUUUUGAAAUUGGUCAUGGAGCAGAAGAGAGAACCUGGUGCCUGAUGCCUCAAAAUAUUUGGCAGCUCACUGGUUAGAGAACAGACCAUAUACCUUGAAGCUCAAGGGUCAGAACUCGACCUCAUCUGAAGUACUGUGUCCAGUUCUGGAGUCCCCAAGACAAGAAGGACAUGGAGCUGUCGGCGCAGGUCCAGAGGAGGGCCUCAACAAUGAUCCAUUCUACUCCCUAUCUCAGGAGCUGCCAAUCAGAAAAAUGCCUGAGUAACAGACUUCAGAUACAAAGGCCUGCAACUAUGUGCUGACAAAACACCAGAGGGAAGGAAUGCAAUCUUUGACAGUCUCAAGAGGUGGGCCCAUUUAAACAUCAUGAAGUUCGUCAAGGCCAACUGCAACAUUCUGCACCUGGAUCAGGGCAAUUCAAAGAGCAAGUACAGUCUGAAUGGAGAUUGGACUGAGAGCAGCCAUAGCCCUGUGAAGAAGCACUUGGAGUGUUGGUUGAUGAGAAGCUUGACAUGACCGGGCAGUAUGUCCUUGCAGCCCUGAACACCAACCAUAUCCUGAGCUGCAUCAAAA
ensembl:lncRNA